rnacentral:rRNA from 1 species
UUCCGGUUGAUCCCGCCGGAAGUCACUGCUAUCGGGGUUCGAUUAAGCCAUGCGAGUCGAGAGGGUUCGGCCCUCGGCGUACUGCUCAGUAACACGUGGAUAACCUGCCCUAAGGAAGGGGAUAACCCCGGGAAACUGGGGAUAAUACCCUAUAGGUUACAGAUGCUGGAAUGCUCUGUAACUCAAAGUUCCGGCGCCUUAGGAUGGAUCUGCGGCCGAUUAGGUUGUUGUUGGGGUAAUGGCCCAACAAGCCCGUAAUCGGUACGGGUUGUGGGAGCAAGAGCCCGGAGUUGGAUUCUGAGACACGAAUCCAGGCCCUACGGGGCGCAGCAGGCGCGAAAACUUUACAAUGCGGGCAACCGUGAUAAGGGAACCUCGAGUGCCUGUAUAUGCAGGCUGUCCAGGUGUCUAAAUAACACCUGAAGAAAGGGCCGGGCAAGACCGGUGCCAGCCGCCGCGGUAAUACCGGCGGCUCGAGUGGUGGCCGCUUUUAUUGGGCUUAAAGCGUUCGUAGCUGGGUUAUUAAGUCUCUUGGGAAAUCCAGCGGCUCAACCGUCGGGCGUCUAAGGGAUACUGGUAAUCUUGGAACCGGGAGAGGUGAGGGGUACUUCGGGGGUAGGAGUGAAAUCCUGUAAUCCUCGAGGGACCACCUGUGGCGAAGGCGCCUCACCAGAACGGCUUCGACAGUGAGGGACGAAAGCUGGGGGAGCAAACCGGAUUAGAUACCCGGGUAGUCCCAGCCGUAAACUAUGUGCGUUAGGUGUAUCGACGACCACGAGUCGUCGAGGUGCCGAAGGGAAACCGUGAAACGUACCGCCUGGGAAGUACGGUCGCAAGGCUGAAACUUAAAGGAAUUGGCGGGGGAGCACCACAACAGGUGGAGCCUGCGGUUUAAUUGGAUUCAACGCCGGA